rnacentral:lncRNA from 1 species
GUAGAAAGGCUAAGGACGGUCACAGCCCAGGGUGGUAAGAGCUGGCACAAAUGGAAACACAGGGAGCCUAGGUGGGCAGAGGAGAGCCCUAGGCUCGGUCAGGUUAAGAGGGGGAUGCUAAGAAGAAGUAACAGAUGUUUUGAGUUUUGAAGGAUGACUACGAGUUAGGCAGGUAAAUGAGUUGGGAAGAGAAAACAGCAUUUGCAAAGGCCUUGGAAUGUGAGAGGCCAUGGAGCAUGCUGAGGCAGUAGCAGGGUCAACAGAGUGGCUAAGGUGCAUGGGAGGCCUGCGCCAGCCUGCCAAGGGCCUUAUGCUCUAUGUUGACAAGGUCAAACUUGAUCCUGACGGUGGUGGCUGGUAAGCCUCUGCGUGGUUUUAUGCAAGAGAGUGAUCAGUCUAUAAGUGAUUACCUGAGGGUCCCCUGAACAAGCUGAGCAGCUCUCAGGGAUGCUUUCCUUUAUUCACUGCUCCUGAGACAACAGCAACGUAAAAGCCUCAUUAGCAGGCAGGUCUCCAACUAACAAAUACUGCAGACAUUUGCAGAGAAGUGCUAUCAUCUUCUUUCUGAUGGGGACACAGAAACUCCGGGCUCCAUCCCAAGUUGUGGUACUAGGAAAUACAGCAAUGACUGACAGAAAUGGUAUGUGUAUACCCAGCCCCCAGCCCCAUGACGGGAUAACUCUGAGAUGGUUCUGCGCUGGCUCUGGAGAUCCCCAUCAGGAUUAAAGCCCAGAUGCCCCUGCUGGACAUCUGCUUGAUGGUACACUUCCCCGGCUAAUUUCCCUACCUUUUGCUAGUGCUUCCUGGGGUCCACUUUCAAAUAAAC